GACGAACGCUGGCGGCGUGCUUAACACAUGCAAGUCGAACGGAAAGGCCCUGCUUUUGUGGGGUGCUCGAGUGGCGAACGGGUGAGUAACACGUGAGUAACCUGCCCUUGACUUUGGGAUAACUUCAGGAAACUGGGGCUAAUACCGGAUAGGAGCUCCUGCUGCAUGGUGGGGGUUGGAAAGUUUCGGCGGUUGGGGAUGGACGCGCGGCUUAUCAGCUUGUUGGUGGGGUAGUGGUUUACCAAGGCUUUGACGGGUAGCCGGCCUGAGAGGGUGACCGGCCACAUUGGGACUGAGAUAGGGCCCAGACGCCUACGGGAGGCAACAGUGGGGAAUAUUGCACAGUGGGCGGAAGCCUGAUGCAGCAACCCCGCGGGCGGGAUGACGGCCUGCGGGUUGAAAACCGCUGUCGCCUGUGACGAAGCUGGAGUGACGGCAAUGGGUAAAGAAGCACCGGCUAACUACGUG
rnacentral:rRNA from 1 species